GGAUUAGAUACCCUGGUAGUCCACGCCCUAAACGAUGUCAACUAGGUGUUGGAAGGGUUAAACCUUUUAGUACCGUAGCUAACGCGUGAAGUUGACCGCCUGGGGAGUACGGCCGCAAGGUUAAAACUCAAAGGAAUUGACGGGGACCCGCACAAGCGGUGGAUGAUGUGGAUUAAUUCGAUGCAACGCGAAAAACCUUACCUACCCUUGACAUGUCAGGAAUCCCGAAGAGAUUUGGGAGUGCUCGAAAGAGAACCUGAACACAGGUGCUGCAUGGCUGUCGUCAGCUCGUGCCG
rnacentral:rRNA from 1 species